rnacentral:rRNA from 1 species
UACGUAGGGUGCGAGCGUUAAUCGGAAUUACUGGGCGUAAAGUGUGCGCAGGCGGCGUCGCAAGUCGAGUGUGAAAUCCCCGAGCUUAACUUGGGAAUUGCGCUCGAAACUACGAGGCUCGAGUGUGGCAGAGGGGGGUGGAAUUCCACGUGUAGCGGUGAAAUGCGUAGAGAUGUGGAGGAACACCAAUGGCGAAGGCAGCCCCCUGGGCCAACACUGACGCUCAUGCACGAAAGCGUGGGGAGCAAACAGG